rnacentral:tRNA from 1 species
GCAGUUUUGGCAGACGGUCAAACACCGUCGGGCGACCUUCCGGGUCGUUGCGGGUGCACAGCUCGCCUUCCGGCUUGUAGUAAGCCAGCACGCGGCA